rnacentral:rRNA from 1 species
CCUAUACAUGCAAGUCGAGCGAAUGGAUUGAGAGCUUGCUCUCAAGAAGUUAGCGGCGGACGGGUGAGUAACACGUGGGUAACCUGCCCAUAAGACUGGGAUAACUCCGGGAAACCGGGGCUAAUACCGGAUAACAUUUUGAACUGCAUGGUUCGAAAUUGAAAGGCGGCUUCGGCUGUCACUUAUGGAUGGACCCGCGUCGCAUUAGCUAGUUGGUGAGGUAACGGCUCACCAAGGCAACGAUGCGUAGCCGACCUGAGAGGGUGAUCGGCCACACUGGGACUGAGACACGGCCCAGACUCCUACGGGAGGCAGCAGUAGGGAAUCUUCCGCAAUGGACGAAAGUCUGACGGAGCAACGCCGCGUGAGUGAUGAAGGCUUUCGGGUCGUAAAACUCUGU